ensembl:lncRNA
UACAUUAUCAAAAUCAAUUUAUUUUAGCAACUUGAAACUUGUUGAAAAGCAUACUUUAUGGAUUAAAAACAGAGGAGGUGUAUUUUUGAAGUGUAAAAACAGUCUGGGAUUUCAUUCACCUGGCGUUCGGGUGUGCUUGGGGAUUUCUCUGUCAUUUCUUGAACGCUGAGAGAGCAGAGCUGAAUCGAUUUCAUGUUUUUCAGACAGACUUUGUGCUUGUGUCACAAUACAGAAAGCUUGUGCAUCUUCAUACUGUGUUAGUGCAGAUGUCCCACGCUGGAGGACAGCCACCCUGCGCUGCCACGGAGAGGUUCAGGGCUCCACAGCAUGGUAGCAGUGCUGCUUGCCUCCUGUCAGGAGGGGACGGUGUUGCAGGAACUCAUGACACUAAGCAUUCCUAAAAUGCAUAGAGAAGUGGUUUAAUGGAAGUUUAAGCAACGCUUUUGUUUCUGUGAUGGCAGAGCAGCUGUAACAGAACUUAGGAGGAAUUUGGUGAUGACUGUGGAGAAUGACGAUGCCUGAGAUAGUACAGUUGUCCUUAAAGAAGCCUGACCGGGAGAUCCGCAGUGCAGGUCUGAUUUGUGUCAGUAAGUGAAAAUGAUACCACAAGGGACAGUUGGAAGGAUCUUUAAAAAAAAAAAACACAAAGCUACAGGGGUUUUCUUAAUAGAGGUAAUGUGAAAAAGUUCAGCUUCUGGAUUUAUUCCUUGGAUACCAAGUCAAGAUGGUUGUCUCAAGAAGAUGUCAGGAGAUCUCAACAGCGUUCAGGUACUUUCAGAAGACUGUUCUUGUUUCCACAGGGAUGUUUUUUUGUUUGCUCUAGGUGCUGAGAAUGCUGAUUUGCUCCCUUAGGAGCACUGCAUUUUGAGCAUUCUGAAUUUCUGAACUUUGCAAGACUUCUUUACAGGCUAAAAUUGGGAGCUGCGGUUACCUGGUGCAUCCCUAAGUUCUUGUAAUAACCGAAUCAGUUAUUAAGGCAGGAAAUUCCUGCUUCAGGAACACAGUGAGGAAUUAAAAUUACUGAUGCUUCGUUUACUUCUUAAAUUGUUAUUUGAAAGUUCCGUGGUUCUUUCACUUCCUAUUGGCACAUCUCAUCUAUCUUUAGUUCGGCUGAAAACUGCAGCUAAGUGGGAUGCUGAUUAAGUGGAG